rnacentral:rRNA from 1 species
UACGUAGGGUGCGAGCGUUGUCCGGAAUUAUUGGGCGUAAAGAGCUCGUAGGUGGUUUGUCGCGUUGUUCGUGAAAACUCACAGCUCAACUGUGGGCGUGCGGGCGAUACGGGCAGACUAGAGUACUGCAGGGGAGACUGGAAUUCCUGGUGUAGCGGUGGAAUGCGCAGAUAUCGGGAGGAACAUCAGUGGCGAAGGCAGCUCUCUGGGCCAACACUGACGCUCAGGCACGAAAGCGUGGGGAGCAAACAGG